AGUGAACGCUGGCGGUAGGCCUAACACAUGCAAGUCGAACGGCAGCACAGUAAGAGCUUGCUCUUACGGGUGGCGAGUGGCGGACGGGUGAGGAAUACAUCGGAAUCUACUUUUUCGUGGGGGAUAACGUAGGGAAACUUACGCUAAUACCGCAUACGACCUACGGGUGAAAGCAGGGGAUCUUCGGACCUUGCGCGAUUGAAUGAGCCGAUGUCGGAUUAGCUAGUUGGCGGGGUAAAGGCCCACCAAGGCGACGAUCCGUAGCUGGUCUGAGAGGAUGAUCAGCCACACUGGAACUGAGACACGGUCCAGACUCCUACGGGAGGCAGCAGUGGGGAAUAUUGGACAAUGGGCGCAAGCCUGAUCCAGCCAUACCGCGUGGGUGAAGAAGGCCUUCGGGUUGUAAAGCCCUUUUGUUGGGAAAGAAAUCCAGCUGGUUAAUACCCGGUUGGGAUGACG
rnacentral:rRNA from 1 species